AGAUGCAAAAAAAAAAAAAAAAGGAUGACUAGGAAUUAUUUGGAAGAAUGUCUUGACAAGGACAACAAUUCUACAUAGCUACAGUUACUGAAAGAUGGCUAGAAUUUAUUUGUAAAAUAUGUCUGACAAAGCGAAAAAAGUCUUGGCAGUUCAUUGAGCAACUAAUGAUGAGCCCGAUGAAUAUUCAAUUAUAAUCAAGAUUGAAUCUCGAGUAAUUAUUGGCCACAUACAAAUGUGCUGAUAAUUCAUUAAACUGGUAUAAUUCAAACUAAGCCAAAGACGUGUUAAAUACUGAAUGAUAUUGUACCAAGUGAAUUUUUAUGCUGACAGAUAGACAUAAUAACAUGAUUUUAUUGUAUGAUAAAUUGACUGCUCAAUCAAGAUGAGAUCAGCAAUGAAAAUGAUGGUGAUGAUGAAAGGUACGUUGGUUUUAGUUUUUCUUCAAAAAAUGCAGCGAAUUUAAUAUGAAAUACAUCCAAUUAGUGAAUAUUUAUUUAACACAUUUGAGUAUAUUUCAUAUUAAAUGCUGAGGUAACUAAACCACAAAAAAAGCGAGAUUAAAAGCUAUAUUGAUGAUACGUUCUCUCAAUGAUACGUUGCAUUGAAUCAAAAAAAUAUAGAGAAUGAAUUUUCAAUUAAAAUGCGUAAUUUGAUAAACUCAUAAUUUUAAAUUCGUAAAAGAAAAUAAGUUAUGAAACAAAUUAAGUCGAUGAAAAAUAAGAAAACAAAGAAAAUGCGAUGCGAAAUUAAUUAAAGAAGAAUAACGAGAUCACUUGAAGCGUAAGGAAAAAUAAUUACACGAAGAUCAUUGGAAACUUGAAAAACUACCACCACCAUCACCACCAAGUAGAUGAGGUUUUUUAUCACCAAAAAUAAAAAAGAAGAAGAAAAAGAAGAAG